AGAUUGAACGCUGGCGGCAGGCCUAACACAUGCAAGUCGAGCGGUAGAGAGGUGCUUGCACCUCUUGAGAGCGGCGGACGGGUGAGUAAUGCCUAGGAAUCUGGCCUAGUGGUGGGGGAUAACGGUUCGGAAACGGACGGCUAAUACCGCAUACGUCCUACGGGAGAAAGCGGGGGACCUUCGGGACCUCGCGCCGAUUAGAUGAGCCUAGGUCGGAUUAGCUAGUUGGUGAGGUAAUGGCUCACCGAAGGCGACG
rnacentral:rRNA from 1 species